rnacentral:rRNA from 1 species
GAGUUUGAUCGUGGCUCAGAACGAACGCUGGCGGCAUGCCUAACACAUGCAAGUCGAACGCUCCGCAAGGGGAGUGGCGCACGGGUGAGUAACGCGUGGGAACCUGCCGAGGGGUGUGGGAUAACCGGUGGAAACGCCGGCUAAUACCGCAUACGUCCUGUGGGAGAAAGAUUCAUCGCCCUUCGAGGGGCCCGCGUCGGAUUAGCUAGUUGGCGGGGUAACGGCCCACCAAGGCGACGAUCCGUAGCUGGUCUGAGAGGAUGAUCAGCCACACUGGGACUGAGACACGGCCCAGACUCCUACGGGAGGCAGCAGUGGGGGGUAUUGGACAAUGGGGGCAACCCUGAUCCAGCAAUGCCGCGUGAGUGAUGAAGGCCUUAGGGUUGUAAAGCUCUUUCGGCGGGGACGAUGAUGACGGUACCCGCAGAAGAAGCCCCGGCUAACUUCGUGCCAGCAGCCGCCGU